UCGACGAUGAAUCUUCUAGCUUGCUAGAAGUGGAUUAGUGGCGCACGGGUGAGUAAUGCAUAGGUUAUGUGCCCUUUAGUCUGGGAUAGCCACUGGAAACGGUGAUUAAUACUGGAUACUCCCUACGGGGGAAAGUUUUUCGCUAAAGGAUCAGCCUAUGUCCUAUCAGCUUGUUGGUGAGGUAAUGGCUCACCAAGGCUAUGACGGGUAUCCGGCCUGAGAGGGUGAUCGGACACACUGGAACUGAGACACGGUCCAGACUCCUACGGGAGGCAGCAGUCGGGAAUAUUGCUCAAUGGGGGAAACCCUGAAGCAGCAACGCCGCGUGGAGGAUGAAGGUUUUAGGAUUGUAAACUCCUUUUGUUAGAGAAGAUUAUGACGGUAUCUAACGAAUAAGCACCGGCUAACUCCGUGCCAGCAGCCGCGGUAAUACGGAGGGUGCAAGCGUUACUCGGAAUCACUGGGCGUAAAGAGUGCGUAGGCGGGGUAAUAAGUCAGAUGUGAAAUCCUGUAGCUUAACUACAGAACUGCAUUUGAAACUGUUACUCUGGAGUGUGGGAGAGGUAGGUGGAAUUCUUGGUGUAGGGGUAAAAUCCGUAGAGAUCAAGAGGAAUACUCAUUGCGAAGGCGACCUGCUGGAACAUUACUGACGCUGAUGCACGAAAGCGUGGGGAGCAAACAGGAUUAGAUACCCUGGUAGUCCACGCCCUAAACGAUGGAUGCUAGUUGUUGCCUUGCUUGUCAGGGCAGUAAUGCAGCUAACGCAUUAAGCAUCCCGCCUGGGGAGUACGGUCGCAAGAUUAAAACUCAAAGGAAUAGACGGGGACCCGCACAAGCGGUGG
rnacentral:rRNA from 1 species